UCCGGGCGGACGCCGAGUCCUGCCGCCACCCGGAUGACCGGUCGACAGGAGUGGAUCGGCAGGAGUGGAGGACCCAAGCACGACGGGUCGCCGGGACGGUCACGCCAUGACCUGGCCCGAGCAGCCCUUGGGGUGAAGCCGCGUCAGCGGCCGGGCAACUUCGCCAGCCCGAAUCCGACAGGUCAUCCUUCACAGGCGGCUGACGAAGGGUUG
rnacentral:sRNA from 1 species